rnacentral:rRNA from 1 species
GUGCCAGCAGCCGCGGUAAUACGUAGGCAGCAAGCGUUGUUCGGAAUUACUGGGCGUAAAGAGUGUGUAGGCGGUUUUCUAAGUUUGGUGUGAAAUCUCCCGGCUUAACUGGGAGGGUGCGCCGAAAACUGGAAGGCUUGAGUGCCGGAGAGGAUAGCGGAAUUCCUGGUGUAGCGGUGAAAUGCGUAGAUAUCAGGAGGAACACCUGCGGUGUAGACGGCUAUCUGGACGGCCACUGACGCUGAGACACGAAAGCGUGGGUAGCAAACAGGAUUAGAUACCCUCGUAGUCC